GGAGGGUGCAAGCGUUAAUCGGAAUCACUGGGCGUAAAGCGCACGUAGGCGGCUUGGUAAGUCAGGGGUGAAAUCCCACAGCCCAACUGUGGAACUGCCUUUGAUACUGCCAGGCUUGAGUACCGGAGAGGGUGGCGGAAUUCCAGGUGUAGGAGUGAAAUCCGUAGAUAUCUGGAGGAACACCGGUGGCGAAGGCGGCCACCUGGACGAAGACUGACGCUCAGGUGCGAAAGCGUGGGGAGCAAACAGGAUUAGAUACCCUGGUAGUCCACGCCGUAAACGAUGUCGACUUGGAGGUUGAGCCCUUGAGGCGUGGCUUCCGGAGCUAACGCGUUAAGUCGACCGCCUGGGGAGU
rnacentral:rRNA from 1 species